GGGGGUUUCUAAGGUGAAAAUAAGAGGAAGAUGUUUGGAAUGUGAAGCUUGUGGAGAGAAUGCAGUAUUCACACAGCAGCUAUUUUGAGAUUUUGACUAUGAGAAGUUUACUCAGUCUCCACUAAAGAGGCUGCCCUUGAAGCUGAACCUGCUUCCCGAUAAUGCAAGAAUAAGCACUGCGGAGUACAAAGAGAAAGUCAUCAAUGGAGAAGCACAUGUAUUAGUGGAUGUAAGUCCUUGAACAUUCCAUUGUCAAGCUUGGAGAGUAAGUUGCCAAAUAUAUCUUCAGCCUUAAAGCGAGAGGAAGAGCGGACAAGUUCUAGUUCAAAUGCUUCUUUAUACGUAGUAUGUAGAUGAAGUAAUGACUCACAGAGGGCUGUUCAAUACCUCCAUAAAAUGGGUUUAACUUCAGCUCAGGAUAUUAUUGG